UGACAUGGUGAGAAUCUCAAACUUUGGUGACCAGCAGAAUGUGGAUUUUAUGUGUGAUGACUUCAGGUUUGAGAAAUGUUGCUUUUAUUGCCUCCGUGUCUAUCUGUAGACAUUGAUGAGUGCAAAGAUGGGACCCACCAAUGCAGAUAUAACCAAAUAUGUGAGAACACGAGAGGCAGCUACCGGUGUGCAUGCCCAAGGGGUUAUCGGUCUCAAGGAGUUGGAAGACCCUGCGUUGGUAAGUUACCAGAAACACUGUUAAAGUAGCUGAUAGAGUUCCCUAACCUUACCAGAAGCUUGUGGUCAUGCUCUCCUGCUACAUGUAGAAGAUAGAUAAGUCUAUUAAGAAAGUCAUAAUACAGUCUGCUUACUUACUACUAUUAGAUUUGACAAUAAGUUCAAUUUAUAUUGGCAUUUCAAGAAAUAUUCUAGCCAUUACCUGAGUGCCUCUUAUAUAAUGCUUAUAUCAAAGUGAACUUCCAAUAUAACAGCCAUGGCAGCUUGAUCCUCAUGACUACCUUAUGAUUUCUCUAUGCACAGGACAUAAACAUCUGCAUAUGUACAUUUUAUUUCUUUGCGUAUAUGCAUUAAAUAUAUUUACAUGUAGUAUGAAAUUUAUGCAUAAGAGUAAAACAUGAAUCCAAUUUAAGUAAACAUAAUUAUUGUAUUGUCUACAGUGUUCAGUUCAUUCAAUUGCCUGG
rnacentral:lncRNA from 1 species